rnacentral:rRNA from 1 species
AAACUGUUAAACUCGAGAAUGGUAGAGGUAACUGGAAUUUCUAGUGUAGGAGUGAAAUCCGUAGAUAUUAGAAGGAACACCGAUGGCGUAGGCAGGUUACUGGGCCAUUUCUGACGCUAAGGCACGAAAGCGUGGGGAGCGAACCGGAUUAGAUACCCGGGUAGUCCACGCCGUAAACGAUGGAUACUAGCUGUUGGAGGUAUCGACCCCUUCAGUAGCGAAGCUAACGCGUUAAGUAUCCCGCCUGUGGAGUACGGCCGCAAGGCUAAAACAUAAAGGAAUUGACGGGGACCCGCACAAGCGGUGGAUUAUGUUCUUUAAUUCGAUGAUAACCGAAGAACCUUACCAGGGCUUGACAUCCAGGGAAGGUCUGCGAAAGUAGACUGUGCCUUUUGGAACCCUGUGACAGGUGAUGCAUGGCCGUCGUCAGCUCGUGUCGUGAGAUGUUAGGUUAAGUCCUUCAACGAGCGCAACCCUUGUGAAUAGUUGUAUUUUUCUAUUCAGACUGCCCCGGUAACGGGGAGGAAGGAGGGGAUGAUGUCAGGUCAGUAUUUCCCUUACGUCCUGGGCUAGAAACGUAAUACAAUGGCUAGUACAAUGCGCAGCGAAGCCGCGAGGUGAAGCAAAUCGCAUCAAAGCUAGUCCCAGUUCGGAUUGUAGGCUGAAACUCGCCUGCAUGAAGUCGGAAUCGCUAGUAAUCGCAAAUCAGCAAGUUGCGGUGAAUACGUUCCCGGGUCUUGUACAC